UACGGAGGGUGCAAGCGUUAUCCGGAUUCACUGGGUUUAAAGGGUGCGUAGGAGGGCAGGGAAGUCAGUGGUGAAAUCCUAGAGCUUAACUCUAGAACUGCCGUUGAUACUCUCUGUCUUGAAUCCCGUGGAGAUGAGCGGAAUAUGUCAUGUAGCGGUGAAAUGCUUAGAUAUGACAUAGAACACCAAUUGCGAAGGCAGCUCGUUACACGAAGAUUGACUCUGAGGCACGAAAGCGUGGGGAUCAAACAGG
rnacentral:rRNA from 1 species